GAAAAAGAAGGAAAGGAAGGAAGGCUCGGUUGGAAGAGCUAAAGAAAAACUGAGAGGUUUUUCCUCCCACCCACAUGCUAUUGUUGUGAUUCAAGGAAAGCUUGGAGAUUUGGCUUAAAGAUUUCAAGCAAGAGGAAACCCUGCAUGUUGGUGGAUCACAAGAAAUGGGAGAUUUCUUGAUUUUAAGCUUAAGUUGAAUUAUUGAGUAAAGGAAAUGUAUAAAUAGAGGAAGUGAGCUGUGCUGACGUGACGGACAAGGUAAGGAGUGACCGACAAACAGGAGUAGUUGUAUACAAGUAUGAAUCAAUAGCGACGUAACAUUUCGCUAUUGUGAGAAAAGUUAUCAGUACAAGCGUGUCAUCCAACGAAUCUAGUUUAGCUACGACCUAGGUAAUGGCAUCUCUUAGCUCUCCACUUUGAGUCGCUCUGCUACGUAGAGGUUUUGUAGUAUAAAAAGCUAGUCUUGUAAGAAUUAUUAAACCAAUGGUUAUGUAUUGUUAAAGAUCUUGUGAUCGGCAUUUAAUUAUUGUUAUCUAGAAUGGA